rnacentral:rRNA from 1 species
CCUACGGGUGGCAGCAGUAGGGAAUUUUCGGCAAUGGGCGCAAGCCUGACCGAGCAAUGCCGCGUGAACGAGGAAGGUCUUCGGGUCGUAAAGUUCUGUUGAAGGGGAAAAGAGCGGAGAGAGGCAAUGCUUUCUGAUUUAUAUUACCCUUCGAGGACGUCACGGCUAACUACGUGCCAGCAGCCGCGGUAAUACGUAGGUGGAGAGCGUUAUCCGGGAUGAUUGGGCGUAAAGGGUCCGUAGGCGGCCUGUUAAGUCUGGAGUGAAAGGUACCGGUCCAACCGGUACAGGCUCUGGAAACUGGCGGGCUAGAGAGCAGGAGAGGGCGGUGGAACUCCAGGUGUAGCGGUAAAAUGCGUAGAUAUAUGGAAGAACACCAGUGGCGAAGGCGGCCGCCUGGCCUGUGACUGACGCUGAGGUACGAAAGCGUGGGGAGCAAAUAGGAUUAGAUACCCGAGUAGUC